GGGCUGCCCUGUCCUGUCCUGCCCUGCCCUCCGGCGCAGGAUGAUCAGUGGCAGCUCCCUUUAGCGCCGUCCAGGCUGCAGGAGCUUGUGCCUCCUGGGUGCUGGGUGCCAUUUCUCUGUUGGUGCGGCCUGUGCCCUGCUGCUCUCCCCAACCGUGCACAGGCUGCUAGAGAAGGGAAAGCACCAAGUGUUCAAGCAUUAACCCCCAGAACUCUCCUAGUAGCUAAACUAAUGUUAAAAUCUUUAAGAAGGAGGUUUCUGCAAAGCCUUCCAGAGCUGUAAUUGCCUGUAAGUGAAAUGUCCUAAUGCCUUCAGAGAAAAAGUGCUAAAAAAUUUGGUGAAAUCUUCCAAAGAAGAAAGUUUCUAUCCAAUUAGGAACAUCCAACUUCAAAAUAAGCAGAACCUCAGCACCCUUUCCUGUAUCCUCAGAGGUUUUCAGCUGAGGAUCCUGCAUUGCUGCUUGAGACCUACACAAGCUUUUGAGCAAGGACUCCUGCAAGUGCGCAAUAUGUUGAAGAGAAGUGUGCAAGCAAGGUAAAUACUGCAAUGGAUUUGGUUCCACAGAGAAUGAUGGAGGGAGAAAGAAGUGAAGAAAUAAACUUCACAAUAAUUUCCUGGGAUUUUUUUUCUGAAAUUAUAAUGUAGCAUUGUCAUCUAUGUAUGGAAGCUAUGAUACCUUUCUUUUUGUUAAAAAUACUGUAGAAACAUAUAGAAACAAUAUCCUAUAAUGUCCUGCAAUUUUGAGAAUUACGCUAUCCCACUUGCCAUGAUGCAUUUGCUUUCAAAUAACAAGUGUUCCCAGGUGCAACUAAUCCCAGGUGAUGGGUAGGAGUUGGAGCUUCAUACAUAUCUCUAUUGGAUCUACUUGGAUCAGUUCCCAUCUGUGGCCUUGGACAAGGAAUUUCUGCCUUCAGGGUUUUCCAGAUUGGUUGUUUUACUGACAAAUUACAUGCCAUGGGAAGCAUGAUGACACCUUCACUAGAGUGAAGAGGGAUAUUGAAACACACCCAGCAUUUUGAAAUAUUUAAGUCUUUACCAUAAUGGUAGGCCAACUGAAGAAAGAUAUUUUAAUAGGUUAUGUAAAGAUACAAAAAUUUUCAACUGUUUGGGGGCAGUGUGUGUGUAUGGAUCUGAUGCUGUUGAUAUUGAGUCCUGUGUGUGUCACUUUUGUGUAGACUCAGGUCUGGGGUCCACAAUGGUGGUACAUUCAGAGGCAAGUUCUGGAAGGAUUUUUUUUUCAACCUGUGAGUGAAUAGUCUUGCCACUAUUAGAGCUCACCUGUAGCUUGGAUGUAUGUGGUGCAUUAGGUGAGCUCUGCAGCAACCUUAUGGGCUUACCUGUUGCAAGUUCCCAUGGACAUAGUGUGUGUUUUUGUUCAUAGUGAUCUUGAUGUAUAUUAUGGCCAAAGAGAAAGCAUUUGUGCCUUUUAGGCUGGUUAUUCACAAAGUUUGGCCAGUAUAAUUCUUAAACAGAUUUCUUCCUUUCAGCCCCUUCAAAGUCUAGAUGCCCUUGGGUUCCUAGGGCUUGACAGGUCCUCUGGACAACAGGUCCUGUGAAAUGAGUCUCCUGGUCACUAUGUGGUACAGUGAGUAUUCCAAAAUGAUGCAUUGUCUGAAAAGUUUCUUAGUGACAAUAGUAGCAUCAGCAUUUCUACAUGGACAGACCUCUACCCAUCCUGAGAAAAAGUUUAUGAUUAAAUAAGUGUAUUUGUGGUUGUGUUGUUUGGACAUUGCAUAAAAUCCACUUGUAAACUUACAAAGGAAACCCAUGUGUCUAGGUGUGCUGCAUCUUUGGUUUUGACCCUUCAUCUGAUGUUAUGGACCAAACAAAUUGGACAAGUGCUGCAGUACUGCUGUGCUCUUACAGAAAAUUUAGGGCAAACCAAGCUUGUACUGAUGCAAUCACACCCCCUUGCCAGGGUGAGCCAUCAGGUGAGUCACACCAGCAAGGUGAGGAGGAGCUGAGGUGCAACAAGGUGGUCAUCUGGGGACAGCCAUGAGGACUCAAGGUGUAACUGGCACACCUGGCACAGUCAGGCAAUGUUUUCAUCUUCUAGGGCUGAGUCCUGCAAAAACAGUUCUGAAAGAGAAGCAAAUGGUGACUGCUGUGUGGAAAGGCUGAUGAGAGCAUUUACAAGAGUUUGCCAGCCAGAAAGACCCACUGUCGUUGCUGAUUGAUCAAUUAAGGCCAUUUCUUGUUUGGAAUCGUCAUAAGGAAAAACAUGAGUGUAGUAUUUUACUAUUGCUAAGAGCAGGCAGUACUAAUGCUUGCAGAAGAGCUUCAACAUAGCAGCAAGGUACUUGCAUUGGAGUGCAAAGGGAUGUUAAGAAGCUGAGUUGCUUUCAAAGUUAUCCACAACUGUGCAUAGCCCCAAAGGUAUAUCAGGAAUCGGUGUAACACAUGGCUAAGGAAAACCCAUGGCUCUUGUGCAAGUACAGAAGUGCUAAUCAGGACAGCAAGUCCUGCAGUUUGUACUGGAGAGCAAUAAUAAGCUUCCACUCCUUUGGUGGAAGUACAGACAUCACAUCCUGGAGCUGCAUCAGAGAGCUGGAACACCUCUCCUAUGAAGAAAGGCUGAGAGAGUUGUGUCAGUUCAGCCUGGAGAAGGUACAGGGAGACCUUUUACCACCUUCCAGUACCUAAAGGGGCUGACAAGAGAGCUGGAGAGGGACUUUUUAAAGGGUGUGUAAUGAUAGGAAAAGGGGAGAUGGCUUUAAAACUAGAAGAGGGUAGGUUUAGAAGCAAUACUAGGAAGAGAUACUUUAGUGUGAGGGUGGAGAGGCACUGGAACAGGUUGCCCAGGGAAUUCAUGGAUGCCCUAUCCCUGGAAGUGUUCAAGGCCAGGUUGGAGGGGGCUCUGGGCAACCUAAUUGAGUGGAAAGUGUCUCUGCCCAUGGUAGGGUGGUUGGAAAUAGAUGGUCUUUAAGGUCGCUUCCAACACAGACCAUUCUAUGACUCCAUGGAUGGCCUGUGGAGCCACAGGGAGCCAUCUGUAAGAGGGAUCAUGUCUGGCUUCUGUAGGAGAAAAUCUCUGAUAUCAUGGAAGGGUGCUAAGGGAGUUCUAUGGCAGCAGGGAAGUCAUGGCAAUCUCCACAGGCAGGGCCACGAUGUAAUGCUACAGGAUUAAGGACAGAACAGCAAGAGUCCUGGCUGUUGGCAGGAGUUUUUGUUGGAAAAUGUGUCUGUGCUAGUUGGAAAUAUGCAGAGAUCUCCCUUUAUAAAAGGGCUGCAACAGGGUGGGGAAAAGCAAGAG